rnacentral:lncRNA from 1 species
AUGCAAAAUGAGGCAGAACUUAGCUUGUCACAUAGGUGUAUUCUUCCUGGAACCGAUGCGGGGUCAGAAAACUGAUGGCUUUUAAGCAAGCUGGACGGGUCCUCUCAGCGCAUUCCCCCACCCGCCUGGCGCCAAUGGAGCUGGCCUGGCCCGCCCAGCCCCUCCCCGCCCCGUCCGCGCUCGGACCGGACUUUCAGGACUGCAGGGGAAAGGGUGGACACCCAGCCUCCCGCCAGGUCAGAGCAGAGGCUAAAAAUGGCCCAGGGGAGACUGCUGGAGUUGCAUGGAGUUCGGGAGCCUAGGAGGGGUCUGAAAAUAACUGUCAAAAAGUUUGAAGGGUGUGUGUUGGCUUGGGGAAAAAAGAGGGUGGAGUGCAUUACAUAAAACUUUUGCAGCUUGUAUUUCCUUUUUUUUUUUUUAUGUUUAAGGACGGCGGAGAUACCUUCAACGUAAGACUGCAAUCAUAAUUAAAACAUGAAUAGUAACAUUUUAAGUUCGUUGUGCCAUUAUGAACUCAUGUUAGUGUUGGACAUUCUAUGAUCCCAGUCCUGUUUAGGCAACGUUAUUGAGGGAUUUAGUUUGCGGAUCUACCUUUCAGGGACAAAGAACCUAGACAGGGAAAGAACAGUAACUUUUGACAGAAAUUUUGCUUCCUGUGAGAUGUGGUUAUUCUCUUCCUUUCACAUCUGUUUGUAGUUCUUUUAGUUUUCCCAGGCAUUAAAUAAAUUAAACCCUCUUUCUUGGAAUCACCAAUAUAUUAAUAUAUUGGGGGGAAAAAGAUUUGAAUUACUUAGGAAGUUGAUGAACUACCCACUCCAACAAUAGAGCCCUGAAAAUCAGGCUUAAGCUUUUGGCCAUACUACUAAAGACUAUCCCUCCUGACAAACACACACCCUCUUUUUUUUUUUUUUUUUUUAACUGGUUGACAGAUCUUUUUUGCAUCAUCACCAUUUUCAGUUUAGAUUCUUACUAGGUGGGAUAAAUUUCACCAUUCUAAUAUCAGCCAUCACCAUUAUGCCUGGUGAAAAAUACAGAAUGUCUGGGCUGCAUCCUCAGAGUGUCUAAUUCGGUGUUUAUGGGAAAGGGACCCAGGAGAAUCUGCAUACCCAGCAAUCCAUGUUUUCAGGGUUGUGGCUUGGGAAAGAACUGUUCCAGACUUCUGCACUUCCUAAGGACCUAUUUUGUAGAUGUUGCAGUGGACGGAAUGUUUGUGCUUUCCCUUAAAUUCAUUUGUUAAAAUCCUAACCCCAAUGUGAUGGUAUUAGGAGAUGGGGCCUUUGGGAGGUAAUUCAUAGCAUAGAGGCCGCAUGAAUGCGAUUAGUGCCCUUAUAAAAAAGGGACCCAGAGAGCUGUCUCCAUCUUUCUGCCACAGGAGGAUACAAAAAUACAUCAGUUUGCAAACCAGAAGAAGGUCCUCACCAGAAACCAACUAUGCUGGCACCCUGAUCUUGGACUUCUAGCCUCCAGAACUGUGAGAAAUAAAUGUGUGUUUAUAAACCAGUCAGUCAGUCUAUGGUGCUUUAUUAUAGCAUCUGGAACGAGCUAAGACAGCUGCUAAGUAGCAUUCCAUUUGACAAGGAAGACUUACCAUUCACACUACUUCUGAGUUCAAUGAAAGAGAGGCUCGAUUUCUUUUCCUGCCUGCACUUUCUUUGAGGUUGCAGUAGAGAGUGUGUGUCUACAGAAG